CCAUCAGGCCCCCUUGCCAGAAUGAAGGGUGCAUGAGCUGAGACAUGGAGACAGGCAAAGGGGCUCCCUCUGUGGGGUUCAAAACAGGAAGCACCCAAGCCCGCCUGGCCACAUUCAGAGGCGGCUUCCAGGCGUCUAGACAAAGCGUGCCACUUAGGAGGUCUACCAUCCAUACUUGUAGAAAGCCGGAGACAGACACGCAGCCUAAGACACAUCGAUCCCGAAACUCGGUCAAGAAGAGGCCAUUGAUGCCAGAGGGACAACCGAGCCUACACCGAAUGCUCUGAUUCGCCGAGGACAGCAGCUGCAAACCGGCAGAGCUGGAGACCAAACGUGGGUCUCUCUCACGUCUUCCAGUGAGCUGGCAGCAGGGGAUGGCUGCGAGGGGACAGGAAGCCCCGGGCGGAUGGCGGCUUCCCUUUCCUGUUGGAAGGGUUUGGAGGCACCCUUCCGCACUGGGGAGCCAGGCUUUACAAAGCAACCUUUGAUCUGGCCUGUGUCAGCCAGGUAGCUGACUGUGUUUCAGAAAAACCCCGUAAGUACACAGGGCCAGCUGCCAACUGAGGAAGGUGCUGUGUGGUGGGGAAAAAAAGACAGAAAAAUUCAGAGUGACACCAAGUUGAUUUUAUUAGUGACUCCUAGGCAGAAGAGUAGUCGUGGGUGGCCACAGGACUUGAAGAUCCCUGUACCACACCACACAGGAGAAAAAGGUGGUUUUUUUAAAUUAAUUAAUUUGAAAGGCAGAGGGGAGGGGGGAAACAGAGAGAGGAGAGAGAGAGAGACUGGGCCAGGCCAAAGCCAGGGGCCAGCCAUGCCAUCCAGGUCUCCCACGUGGGUACACUCAGAUCAUCUUCCUCUGCUUUCCGGGCACAUGGGCAGGGGGCUGGAUUGGGAGUGGAGCUGCCAGGGCUCUUGUUGGCUCUCCAGUACGGAAGGCCAGCGUCCCAAGGGGAUGCUUCUCCUUCAGCUGGGCCACACCCCUGGACGCUGCAGGGUUUCCUAGGCAAAGCUGCCCUGCGCUAACCGGAAUGCACCCGGACUCUCUCAAGAAAUGCUCACGUUCUGGGCAUUGGAUAGGAGACAUUCCAUGAGGCAGGUUGUAUUAAUGACUGGGUUUGUCCCAUGGGGCCUGGGGUGACCAUCAGCUCACCGAAAGGACAUGAUGAUGGCUGCUACUAAUGAGAUGGUUGCGGUGACCCCAAGCCGGGUCCUCAGACGCCGCAAUGGCAACGUGGCUCUGAGCAGCGGUGGGGAAUGUCCAGCCUGCUGGCCGUGUAAGGCACUCAGAAUCAUUUGUUCUGGGCCUGCCAAGGCCCACAGGGGGGACUCGAAAUUCAUCUCUAGCAGACUGGUGUUUAAGGUGAUAAUGUUGUGUGGCCCGCAAAUGACAUCAUCCGUAUCCAAAUUGCCUUUGGCAGAAAAAAAAAAAAUAGGAAGGUUCCCAGCCCUGCUUUGGAACCCACUCAGGGACCCUGGAACCAAAUCUUUUCCCCAGAGCUCAGCUGUUGUGUGUCCAUCAGCAUCGGACACUGACACCCACGCGGCCGAUACCUCUGAUGGCUUUGAGAAUGGCCCUCCUGUCCCCACUGCACGUGUGUGCCUCAUGCUGGCACCCCGGUGCCUGGGAGGGGCUGCCUUCUGUCACCGUGGCAGGGAGAUGACGCUGCAUAACCAAGACACUGUCUUCCCAGAGGCCCACGAUGGGGAGUUUUACCCACCAGGCUCCCGCGAUGGAGCAUAACGAGUCCCCAGACUGUGCAUCCGCUGAGCUCCAAAGGCCGUGUUCGUGGAAAAUUACAGCAGAGCCAGAGCUACCAUGCAGAAGCCCCCGCCCCAGGGCACGGCGGCUGCUCCGUGAGUCCAGCUCCACCGGUUUCCCCCGGUAUCACCCCCAUCACCGAGCACCCAGUGAAAUCGAAACUCAAAGUUUCAGUUUCAAGGCAAAAAGGUGACUUCUCUGUGAAUUCGGACAGCCUGCUGCAGGUGGCGGGGAGCUGAAAACCCAGGGGGAGGGCACGGGGUUUGCGGCUCUCACGCGACGCUCACUCCUGCCCUCCUUUCGUGUUCCCUCUCUUGGUCUCGGUUCGUCUUUAUGAUUUAUUUUUGUUUAUACUCUCUUAUUCUGUGUUUUUAUUACCACGUGUUCUAUGGCUUCAGACAUCCAUCAGCAUACAAAAAAAAAGUCAAUGAAGUAUAAAUAUCACCAUGUUAACUGUUGUUUUCUUCUGGUUUGGGCAAAUGUAUGGAUCUGAUUUCAGCCAUGCAAAUGGGCACUUUUUUGGUUUUGUUUUGUUUUGGUGUGUUAACAUCUGCGAGAAAGAGGAUAUUUGUGAGUUGAAAGCAGUCCAAAAGAGCUGACCUACCAAUGCAAAGACGUUUGGAGAAGAGCUGGACGGACGAAUUUCUAGUAUGUCUACCUUUUUAUAGGACUCGUUAGAUUGAGACACUGGAAACUGUUAUGUUCAAAGUUCUCCCACGUGGUUCUCUCACUGAUGAUAGAAUGAAAAUCCCGGGUGAUCAGGAAGCGACAGGGACUCAGAGAGCGAUAGCUCUCCUUUCCUCUCCGGGGUUACAGAAUCACCGUGCAUCUCAGCAGAGAGAGCGUGGGGUUGAGGAAACACACAGUCAGCCCCUCGUGACUCACAGCAUUGGAAGGCUCGCGACCUCAGGGCCUCAGACACUGCAGUCAGAGACUCCCAGAAGCGGGGAGAUUAAGUGGCAGAAUCUGGGAGAGUCGUGGACCCUGGGAGCCGUGGAAUCCCAGCCACAGAACUUGGGGCUCACUGGGCGCGAGAGCUGCCACUCUGCAGGAGGGAAGAGGGAAUGGUCCCCGAGUAUGUGUUUGGAGGGAGGGGUGGACGCGCUCUGUCAAUCCUUUGCCGUGACGACACCCACGUGUCCCGAUCUGCUCCGCAAUGCCGGCCCACAGGCUGCACUGCAGGACGGAGCUGGGAGAACGAGGCUGGGAAGAAGCAAGAGGGAGGGUGCAUCACACAGCAUGACCCACCCAAGGCUAUAUGAGGCGGCGCCUCAACCUUGAAGUUCAGAAAAACCACGGAGCGCGGUGUCGGAAGGCCCAUGACUCCAUCUUCCACCACACUCAGCAUCCCCUUCCUGCCUCCCACUUCUGCCCACGCAGCCACCGAGCUGCUGCUUCAGUGAGCUCUCUCAGCCUCUGGGCCCUCGCUCACAGUGUGGCAGGACUGCCAAGCACAGCCGCACAGGUUGGGCACUGCACCAGGAGGGCCACAUUCGCACCGCAGCCAUGCCAAAUGUAUACCAAUAAUGUCUGGCAGAUGGCAAGACAACGUCUUGAAGAAGAAUCAUCUUUUCAUCUUGGAACACAAGUGCCAUCUGGGGUGGCAGGGACCUGGAUGUCUGCCCUGCCAGGGAUACCAUCACCCCCGUUCUCCACCACAGAAAUUCCUGCCCCAUCCUCUAAUGUCUCUUUCAAAUGUUCCCUUCUUGGCUGGUGCCGCGGCUCACUAGGCUAAUCCUCUGCCUGCGGCACCAGUGCCCCGGGUUCUAGUCCCGAUUGGGGCACCUGUUCUGUCCCGGCUGCUCCUCUUCUGAUCCAGCUCUCUGCUGUGGCCCGGGAAGGCAGUGGAGGAUGGCCCAAGUGCUUGGGCCCUGCACCCACAUGGGAGACCAGGAGGAAGCACCUGGCUCCUGGCUUCGGAUCGAUGCAGUGCGCUGGCCGUGGUGGCCAUCUGGAGAGUGAACCAAUGGAAGGAAG